rnacentral:rRNA from 1 species
UACGGAGGGUGCAAGCGUUAUCCGGAUUCACUGGGUUUAAAGGGUGCGUAGGCGGGCAGGUAAGUCAGUGGUAAAAUCUCCGAGCUUAACUCGGAAACUGCCAUUGAUACUAUUUGUCUUGAAUAUUGUGGAGGUAAGCGGAAUAUGUCAUGUAGCGGUGAAAUGCUUAGAUAUGACAUAGAACACCAAUUGCGAAGGCAGCUUACUACACAAUGAUUGACGCUGAGGCACGAAAGCGUGGGGAUCAAACAGG